rnacentral:tRNA from 1 species
GCCCGCAUGGCUCAGUGGUUGAGCACUGACCUAUAAACCAGGAGGUCACGGUUCAAUUCCUGGUCAGGGCA